UGGGGAAUAUUGCGCAAUGGGCGAAAGCCUGACGCAGCGACGCCGCGUGUGGGAGGAAGCCUUUCGGGGUGUAAACCACUGUCAGAGGGGAAGAACAGCGUCCAUGUCGAACAGGCAUGGCGUUUGACGGUACCCUCAAAGGAAGCGCCGGCUAACUCCGUGCCAGCAGCCGCGGUAAGACGGAGGGCGCAAGCGUUGUUCGGAAUUACUGGGCGUAAAGCGCGGGCAGGUUGUCCGUUAAGUCGUCUGUGAAAACCCGGGGCUCAACCCCGUGGAAUGCAGACGAUACUGGCGGGCUGGAGAUCGGUAGAGGCUAGCGGAAUUCCUGGUGUAGCGGUGGAAUGCGUAGAUAUCAGGAAGAACACCCGUGGCGAAGGCGGCUAGCUGGGCCGAGUCUGACACUCAUCCGCGAAAGCGUGGGGAGCAAACAGGAUUAGAUACCCCCGUAGUCC
rnacentral:rRNA from 1 species